AAAAGAUACAGUCCGAGGUGGGGCACGGUGGCUCACACCUGUAAUUCCAGCACUUUGGGAGGCCAAGGCAGGAGGACCGCUUGAGGCUAGGAGUUCAAUACUAGCCUGGCUGACAUAGGAAGACCCCAUCUCUAAAAAAAUAAAUAAAUAAGCAAAUUAGCCAGACAUUGUGGUGCACGCCUGUGGUCCCUGAUACUUCAGAGGCUGAGGUGGGAGAAUCACUUGAGCCCAGGAGGCCAAGGCUGCAGUGAGCAGGGUCACGCCACUGCACUCCAGCAUAGGUGAUAGCAAGAUUCUGCCUCAAAAACAAAUGAAACAAAGGGUACAGUCUGGUGUCUGCUAUGAUAGAGAAUUGACAAAGGGGCUGGUCAGUGACACAGAGGAGAGCAAAGUGCCUCACUGGGAACAUGCCGUUGCUGGGGAUAGUGAUGCCCACUGGUCAGUGUUUCAAGGGCCACCAGCAGCAGCAGUGCACAGGCACCCAUUGCUAAGGAGACCUGUACUCUGCCCUGCCCAGGAAGUUCUUCAUCUCUGUGUGCAUGCAGCUUAGUUCCUGCUCCUUCAGCCAAGCUAACGCGGAAGCCCUAGAGCAUCUGGACCAAGCAAGGAAGCCGGCAGGAGCCUCUGCACUGCCUAUGAAUUUGACCAACGGGACUUGGGGUAGUUUUACAUUUAGUAUCACAUCUCCUAACAUUCAUUCUUCCCUUCUUUCUUUAGCAACAGAACCCCUGAAAUUUACCUGGCUGUGUAGCUGCCCAAAAUAAAGACUUUCCUUUCCCACCACCCCUGCAGCUCCAUGUGGUGUGUGGGCAAAUCCUGGCUGAUGGGAUGUGGGUAGAAGAGACGUGUGCUCAGGAAGAUGGCCCACGCAGGGAAGGAGCAGGUCUUGCGCUCCUCUCCAUCCCACUUGCCAGAAAAUUGCUGCAGUGGACACUGUGGCACUAUAGGUUCUGUGGACGCCACGGGCAUGGUGGUGAGCACCUUCAGCUGCAUGGAAGAGGUGUCAUUUCAGGGCGGUUCUGCACACAAUCUGCCCUGCACACAGGAGCUACUGUAUGAACCUCGCUCCCAGUGUGUGAGGAGAGAAGGACAGAAAUUGGGUCAGCUUUGAUAAACUUUCAUAGUACCUUGAUAUUGCCUUGACCUUCAAGCACAUGAUCUGUGGACCCACCUCAAUAUAUUGACCAGGCCUGGGCAUGAGUCAGGCACUUUUUAAGCCCAAUAAAGCUACAUAGGGGUCUGAGAUCGAUUGGAAAUUUAAAUGAUACUAGAAAUAAUGACAGUCGUACUCCAGAUUGUGUGAGAAACACAUCUGUAAGGGACGGCAGAGUCACGGAGAAAAGGAGGCAGGGCCUGGGUACCAUGGAACCAGCCGAACAGCCCCACCACGAAUCCUCCUACCUUUAGAGAAGAGAGAAACUCUUCCCUGGUUUAAGCUGUCAUAUUUGGGGGCCCAUUUGUUUCUCAGCCUAAGCUGUACCCCGUCGGGUGUGCCUAUAUGUGAAUAGCGUGUGGGCUCAGCUGAUGGACCAGACAUUCCAUGUACUGGCGCAUAACAUUCUGACUCGCGUGCAGUAAGAACAAAAGGAAAUACAGCCCAAUUUGGUAAAAUUCUCUCACAGCCUGGAAAAGAGCAUCCCGAACAGUGGAGAGGAAGAGGGAGUGAGGCCCUGUGGACACAGCAGAGGAAUCCACAAUGGAUUUGCAGCAGGCUGGUGGAGGCAGAGCAGAGAAGGGCGGGAGAGGGCCAGCGAAGGCCUGGGAAGGUGGACCCACAAACUCGUCUCCUAAUGAAGCUAACCAGCAAUGCGAGGGCACACAGGGAGACCCCCUAGAGGCUGCCCCAGGCCAGGAGUCACCUGUGAACUGAGGUGGCCAAGGCAGGUUCUGUGGCAGAGGGUGAAUGCCUGCAGAUGAGAACCAGCCGCGGUGCCCAGAAAGGAACAGUGUGCGGGCCUGACGGGAGCCCCCAUCAAUACAACCAGCUCCUGCUCAGAACUCUCUUCAGGCAGACAAAUAGAAGAUAUGUUUCUACUUCCCCAGGCCUCAGCACCAUGACUAUUCUAGUCCCAGUGGAUACCCUGCUUCAGGUUUUAUGCAGCUGAGUUGAAAAAGAAUAACAGAAUAGGAGGAAAACAAGGGGAAGAAGGUAGGUGGGACGCCCCAAAUCAUCUUGAGUGCACUCCAUAAAAGAAAGAGGCAUUAAAGCAGCCCCCUCUCCUAUCUCAAGCCAUCCUUCAACUUAUAGGGACUUUGCACAUAGUUGCUGCAGGUUGGCCUGCCUCUGUCAGAGGUGUUUAAACCAGAUUGACUCUCUCUUGUAUAGGGGCUGGGUAAAAUGAGGCUGAGACCUACUGGGCUGCAUUCUCAGGAGAUUAGGCAUUCUAAGUCACAGGAUGAGAUAGGAGGUCGGCACAAGAUACAGAUCACAAAGACCUUGCUGAUAAAACAGGUUGCAGUAAAGAAGCCGGCCAAAACCCACCAAAACCAAGAUGGUGACGAGAGUGACUCUGGUCGUCCUCACUGCUACACUCCCAUCAGCGCCAUGACAGUUUACAGAUGCCAUAGCAACGUCUGGAAGUUACCUGUACGGUCUAUAAAGGGGAGGCAUGAAUAAUCCACCCCUUGUUUAGCAUAUCAUCAAGAAAUAACCAUAAAAAUGGGCAACCAGGAGCCCUUGGGGCUCCUCUGCCUAUGGAGUGGCCAUUCUUUUAUUCCUUUACUUUCUCAAUAAACUUGCUUUCACUUUAUUCUAUGGACUCGCCCCGAAUUCUUUCUUGUGAGAGAUCCAAGAACCCUCUAUUGGGGUGUGGAUCAGGACCCCUUUCCAGUAACACCCCUAUUGUGAGAAGAUGCCUUAAAUGGCUGGAGUUCUGGUGCUGAGCUGUGUUUUCACUCUGGGUAGUUUGUUGUUAGCUUUUUUAACAGCUUAAUUGAGAUAUAGGUAAGAUAUAGUUCACUAGUUAAGAUACAGUUCCGUUCUGGUGUUGCUGUAAAGGAAUACCUGAGGCUGGGAAACUUACAAGAAAAGAGGAUUGUUUGGCUCAUGGUUCUGCAGGCUGUACCAGAAGCAUGGCACCAGCAUCUGCUUCUGGUGAGGCCUCAGGAAGCUUCCAAUCAUGACAGAAGGCCAGGGGGAAGCAGGCAGAAGUGUUAG
rnacentral:lncRNA from 10 species